rnacentral:tRNA from 1 species
GAGGGUGUAGCUCAGUGACAGAGUGCAUGCCUAACAUGCAUGAGAUCCUGGGGUCAAUCCCCAGGACCUCCA